GGGACACGUGGUAUCCUGUCUGAAUAUGGGGGGACCAUCCUCCAAGGCUAAAUACUCCUGACUGACCGAUAGUGAACCAGUACCGUGAGGGAAAGGCGAAAAGAACCCCGGCGAGGGGAGUGAAAAAGAACCUGAAACCGUGUACGUACAAGCAGUGGGAGCACGCUUAGGCGUGUGACUGCGUACCUUUUGUAUAAUGGGUCAGCGACUUAUAUUCUGUAGCAAGGUUAACCGAAUAGGGGAGCCGAAGGGAAACCGAGUCUUAACUGGGCGUUAAGUUGCAGGGUAUAGACCCGAAACCCGGUGAUCUAGCCAUGGGCAGGUUGAAGGUUGGGUAACACUAACUGGAGGACCGAACCGACUAAUGUUGAAAAAUUAGCGGAUGACUUGUGGCUGGGGGUGAAAGGCCAAUCAAACCGGGAGAUAGCUGGUUCUCCCCGAAAGCUAUUUAGGUAGCGCCUCGUGAACUCAUCUCCGGGGGUAGAGCACUGUUUCGGCAAGGGGGUCAUCCCGACUUACCAACCCGAUGCAAACUGCGAAUACC
rnacentral:rRNA from 1 species